UAUCUCUGUAGAGUCUGCAUAUCAAUAAGCGGAGGAAAAGAAACUAACUAGGAUUCCCUUAGUAACGGCGAGUGAAGCGGGAAGAGCUCAAAUUUGAAAUCUUCAAGGUUCUACCUUGACGAAUUGUAGUUUAAAGAAGUGUUUUCUGUUAGAUGAUUAGGCUAAAAGUUCCUUGGAAUAGGACAUCAUAGAGGGUGAGAAUCCCGUAUUUGACUUAUUCAUUCUAGCGUUGUGAUACACUUUCAAAGAGUCGGAUUGUUUGGGAAUGCAGUCCAAAAUGGGUGGUAAAUUUCAUCUAAAGCUAAAUAUUGGCGAGAGACCGAUAGCGAACAAGUACCGUGAGGGAAAGAUGAAAAGAACUUUGAAAAGAGAGUUAAACAGUACGUGAAAUUGUCAAAAGGGAAGCGUUUGACACCAGUGUUGUUUUUCCGAAAAUCAAUUACGAAUGGCUUGAUUCUGUGUUGUAUUGACCUUAUCAGCUUUCUUCACUUUUUUCGAGUCUUUCUUAAUGCACUUUUCGGUUAACAAGUCAACAUCAAUUUCUUUUGUUGUAAAAGAGUAUUCGGAAGGUGGCUUUCUUUUCGGAGAAAGUGUUUAUAGCCCUAUACUUCUACAAUCGGAGAGAUUGAGGUCUGCAGCGUAGAUCCUUCGGGGUUAGAUACACUUGUGCUAAGUUGUAGCUUUUCAUAGACAACUUGUUGACUAUGUUUAGUCAUGCGGCUUACUCGCUUGUGCUAUUUUACCUACGCUUAGGAUGUUGAAGAUGUAGCACAUCAU
rnacentral:rRNA from 1 species